CCUGGUAGUGGGGGACAACGUUUCGAAAGGAACGCUAAUACCGCAUACGUCCUACGGGAGAAAGCAGGGGACCUUCGGGCCUUGCGCUAUCAGAUGAGCCUAGGUCGGAUUAGCUUGUUGGUGAGGUAAUGGCUCACCAACGCGACGAUCCGUAACUGGUCUGAGAGGAUGAUCAGUCACACUGGAACUGAGACACGGUCCAGACUCCUACGGGAGGCAGCAGUGGGGAAUAUUGGACAAUGGGCGAAAGCCUGAUCCAGCCAUGCCGCGUGUGUGAAGAAGGUCUUCGGAUUGUAAAGCACUUUAAGUUGGGAGGAAGGGCAGCUAGCGAAUACCUGGUUGUUUUGACGUUACCGACAGAAUAAGCACCGGCUAACUCUGUGCCAGCAGCCGCGGUAAU
rnacentral:rRNA from 1 species